AUGAAUAUGGAGGAUUGGUUGGGCCACCGCACCCCCAACCCUAGACUUGCUCGAGAGACAGCACAAGUGAAAGCCACCUAUGUGCAAGAGAACUGUGAGAACACAUGGUUUCUUUGCCUUUUGGAGCAUUUUUCUCCCCUUCUUUCUUCAGGCUCUGUUGCAAGCAGCCAUCCAUGCAUUUUAUCUGUAAACUGGCCACCAGACUCUGGGCUCCCAGAAUGCAAGGCUGUGCCUGCCUUUACUGCUGUCCCUGCAGUGCCUGGGACAUACAGAAUAGGAGCUGAAAAAUGGUCACUGGGAGAAUAAAUGAUACUGUACCCUUCUUCCCACUGUGUCUGUCCUCUUGACUGUCUCCCAGUCUGCCAUCCCCCAG
rnacentral:lncRNA from 1 species